rnacentral:misc_RNA from 1 species
GACCAAAUUAUAAAUUUCCCAUUGGAUAAUUAAAGAUGGAAGAGAGAUUUCAGGAAGCAGCUCCACCACUUAAGCUUACAAUUAGCAAUAUAUAUUAUACAAAAUCUUAAAAAGGGAACCACCACCGUAUAUAAACCUGCACAUGACAGUCCAGUAUCUAGCAGAGAAACUUCUAUCAUUGACAUUCACAAUAAGAAAAACAGUUGAGAUUAUAUUUUAUUUCAAAUCUGCCAAGAAUUCAAAAUGAAUACU